ACCCUCGUUGAUUAAUGGUAAAUCAACCACUCCUUUUAGGGGCAUCUGAAUAGGUCCGGUGGGAGUCGGAGGUUCGAACCCUCCCGAGGGCA